rnacentral:rRNA from 1 species
UGAACGCUGGCGGCGUGCCUAAUACAUGCAAGUCGAGCGAACAGACGAGGAGCUUGCUCCUCUGACGUUAGCGGCGGACGGGUGAGUAACACGUGAAUAACCUACCUAUAAGACUGGGAUAACUUCGGGAAACCGGAGCUAAUACCGGAUAAUAUAUUGAACCGCAUGGUUCAAUAGUGAAAGACGGUUUUGCUGUCACUUAUAGAUGGAUCCGCGCCGCAUUAGCUAGUUGGUAAGGUAACGGCUUACCAAGGCAACGAUGCGUAGCCGACCUGAGAGGGUGAUCGGCCACACUGGAACUGAGACACGGUCCAGACUCCUACGGGAGGCAGCAGUAGGGAAUCUUCCGCAAUGGGCGAAAGCCUGACGGAGCAACGCCGCGUGAGUGAUGAAGGUCUUCGGAUCGUAAAACUCUGUUAUUAGGGAAGAACAAAUGUGUAAGUAACUAUGCACGUCUUGACGGUACCUAAUCAGAAAGCCACGGCUAACUACGUG